UGUUUGCAGCACAUGCAAAAGUCAAAGUAUUGAAUAAAGUGCAGAUAUUUUUGUGUGAAACAUGUAUGAAGUUUUUUGUGUGGAAAACGUGGUUAUAAUCAUGAUCAAUUGUACAAAAACCAUUCCAAAUAUGGAAGAGAAGCAAUAAUAAAUGGCCUGUCACAAAGAGAAUGGAGGAUAUGCUUCUGAAAUGUGAUGUGCAUAAGGACAAGAAACUGAAAACGUUUUGCCAGGGCCACAGUCAGCUGUGCUGCUCAGAUUGCGUUCUGCUUCAUCACAGACGGUGCAUCGAUGUGACUCAUAUUUCUGAGUCAGUAAAAAUGCUAUCAUUGGAUAUGAAAAAGUUGUCAAUCAAUCUUCAAACUAUUCUUUACCAACUUAAUAUGUUUAAGAGUACACAAGAGACCAUCAUUCAGUUCAUGGAGGUAUCAUAUAGUGAAACACUGCACGAAAUCCGAGACAUGCGUGACAGAUUAAAUGCUUAUUUUGAUGAGCUAGAAAAUGCAACCAUGAAAGAACUGGAUGAAAUUAGGAACUUAUUGCAAACCUCUCUCAAGAAAGAUGUUGACAACUGCAGCAGACUGAAGGAUGAAAUGCAAGUACUUGGUGAAGCUGUACAUGGCCUGUGUGAUAAGAGCAAGAAAGAAAUGGAGUUAGUAGCCAGCAGGAAAUGUCUUGAAAAAAUACAAGAGUGUGACACAUCUGAAAGAGAGCCCAUUUAAGAUUCAGAGUUCAAUGAUAUUCAAGGCAAAAAUUGAUAUUGAGCAGUACCUGUCUAAAAUGUCAGAUCUUGGGAGGAUUGUAUUAAUGAAUCCAAAUCAGUUGAUGACAGUCAGGAGAAAGUCUGUGUAUAAUAUGAAAAUAUCGAUUGACACGGAUUUGUCUUGCUUCAUCACAGGUAGUUGCAGCUUACCUUGUAACUGUGUCAAUGUUGUUGAUAAUAAAAAUAAAAGAGUAGCUGUUUUACCAGCAGUUCAAUGUAGUCAGCCACUGUGAUGUGUCUGGUGAGCUAUGGGACAUUUGUCUAAUUACAUCCUGUGAGGUGGCUGUGACUGUUGGCAAUGAUGUGCAGUUCAUCUCUGUAAGAAAUGGGUCUCUGAUUAAUGGGAGAAGGUUUCAGUUACAGCAUGCUGCAUGUGGAAUUGCCCACCAUCUCAGAGCGUUGUACGUCACCUCUGGCACUGCCCUGUACCACUACAUUCUGACAAGGACACUCGUGAAAAAGCUUUAUGAGGUCGCAGAAGGGGACUCGGGAGUGUGGAAGUGUUCUGUGAGUCCAGCUGAGGACAGGAUCUAUGUCACCAACAACAGCCAGAACAAACUGAUCACACUGGCCAUGGAUGGGACCCUGAUAUCCACUCUCACGUACCCUGAACUACUACAUACAUAUGGCGUUCAUGUUACACCUGCAGGACAGGUGCUUUUAUGUGGAAAUAUCACCAAUUCUUUCAUACAGGUGGAUCGUGAGGGCAGAAAGAAGCUGGUAACUCUGCUUUUACAGAAAGAUGGAUUGAGCAGCCCAACGUCUGUCUGCGUCAACAAAAAAGUCGACCAGAUCACUGUGGGACUAUUCAACAACAACCAAACAAGUGUUCUGGAACAAUUGCUCAUGAGUCCUCCUGUUGAAUAUUUAUGUAUACAAUCUUGUAAAUGUAAUUUACAAUUUGUCUUUUAAAAUGACAAAAGAACCCAUCAUAGUUUGUACCACAGGCAGGAAAAAAACUAGCUUUGCAAAUUUACAUAGUGUUGAUUGUUUUGUUAAUGACUUUUGAAUAUUUAUAUUGCAAAUAAGUCAUAUUUAACCAAGUUCUCACCGAAGUUCAAUAUCCUGUUUAUACGCUUUGAACAUGUCCAGCUUCUUGUUCUAUAUUGUGUUGUGUCUGUAGAUAACAUGUGAUGUUAUUGUGUGAGUAAAUAAGUUUGUAUGCAGACUUUGCUCGCAAAGUUUAUUAAAUUCAAGAAAAUAAAUUGUUAAAUCGUUGAACAUCUGGUUUGUUUACAUACCUUGUUUAAGUUCAUGAAAUGUAAGAUUUAAAAAAAGUAACAUAAACUACUACAUAUAUUCAACUUCAAAUAUCUUUGUGGUAUGUAUAUUAUAUGACUGACAGAAAUGAACAUUAUACUGUAAAAUUGGAAUAAUAGUCAAGCGCACUGACUGGUGUUAGCUUGUUUGUCUAAUCUUAAGGAAACUUGUUCAGAACAUUUGUUCUAAGGAUUUCUCAUUGUAAUUCACAAAUGGGUCCGAGCUUUAUUCCAUCCUUGGUGAAGGCAGCAUAUAGCAGUCGCAAUGUGAUUCUGUGCGUUGAUGUGAGUGGCCAGGUGUGCGUCCGAUAUUUUUAAUCUCAGCCAUAACCGUGCCAUAUUUUUAAACAUCGUGAGAGAUUUUGUUAUUAGCAAUACCUUUCUCCUAACCUCAAAAGUCGGGGUCACAUUUAGAGGUCUAAGGUAAAUUGGUCUUGGGUCUGGUCUGUUGAAAAACAUGGUUGAAAAGGGGGAGGGUAAGGGCUUGGUUUUUCAUCAUAUGGCUAUGGUGAAAUUUUGUGAACCCUGUAUAAGUCAUAUUAUUUGCCAACUCAUCAUGAAACAUGCUCAGAGCAUUUGUUCCAAUCAUAUCUCAAACGAAUUCGUAAAUGGUUCUUGCCCGUGGACCAGUUUCCCUUGUAUGACUAUACUACAAGCGUACGAACACUCUUUCGUCACAAUGUUGGCCCAAUCUUCAUGAAACUUGCUCAUAUAUUUUUUUCUAAGCCUGGUUCAAAAAUGGUUCCGGUCCAUUCAGUAAUCGAAUAAAGUAGUUUGAGCAAUCAAAUCUUAUUUUUUGUUUUAUUACUUUAGACCUGGAAAAAGUUUUCUACUCCAGCUAUAGAAAACAAAGAAUAUGAACAAGCCUAGUCUGUAACUUACCAGAAAGUGCAGGACAUGAGGGGUUGUGCUAAGUUCGGUAUCGGUCCUUUUAAAAACAUGAGUGUAAGCGGGUAGGGCAUUUUCAUUAUAUGUCUAUAGUGUUUUAAACCUUCUGAAUGCCAUCAUAAGACAGUUGGUGUCCAAUCUCAAGCAUCUUGAUAAGAAUGUUUGUUUUUAGAAUAUCUUAGAUAACUUAAUUUUUUAGGUAUGUUACAAAUAUGGCUGCCAUGGGAUUUUUCACUAUAGCUUGAAAACUUUGCUGAAGUGGAAAAUUUUCACUCAAGUUGAUUUUGCUUCUUUGUGAAUAUGACUGCAACUAUUAAAGUGAUAACUUUAAUUGUGUGAUGUACUGAAAACAGUUAUGAUAAUAAGCGUUGUGUAAAUGAACAUUAUGUUUAUUAAUUGUGUUUGUCGAGAUUUAUGUAUUAUUUAUUUACUACCGUUGUUUUAACUGAUGGAUAUGAUUUUUUUGUAUUUAGUUA